GUAAGGGCAUGAUUGAUGAGAAUGAGAAGUUUGGCGGACGCUUUUAUAAAUAUGGGAAAGUGUAGGGGGGUGUGACCACUGAGACAUACUGAUGUCUCCUCCUGCCAGAGGUCACUAUGUUCCUAAUGCUCUUUAGGGGGGUGUGACUAGUUGGGCACUGGUGAGCACGGUCGGGCCCAGCUAGUUGCCGAAUUUGGUGUCAAGCUCUCCACCAUCCCCGGGGUCACUGGCGCAAGGGCGUGACCAUAAGUGAGCUCCUUACGUACUCAUUGUACUAGGAGGCGGGCAUUGUGCUCUCGAGAGAUAGGAGCUCGGUGUCUCCAUGAAGAAGGAGCUUCAUGGACACUACAAGGCCGAGGGGCUUGUAGUGCGCGUCACUCCUAGGCCCGAGGUUUCGGUAUAAGGCCGACGAUGCUACUCGGUAUACGGGCCAAUGAUGCUACUCGGUAUAGGGGAACAUUGGCUUUGGGUUCAGCCAUACGGUCGGAUGUUACUUAUUACCUUGCUGUCGGACAAUGCUUGCUGCUAGGCUUUCGUAUGAUGCGUGAGGAUGUACACGAUGAAGGGCGACAUCGUGCUACUAGGAAUAUCAAUGUUCGAUGAUCGGGCUAAGAUACGUGGGAGACCCUCGAUAAGGAUAUUGGAAUUCCUCUUUAAGGGGGAAAGACCCUUGAAUACGAGUAGGCUGGCCUAGAUUGGGUGGAAGUCUAGGCGCCGCACGGGACUACUGUCCGAGCUAGGAAGUGGCCCCGUGACAGUUGGUAUCCGAGUGAGGCAGAAUGUCACAAGGAAGAAAAUGAUAAUACCAUUAUUAAUCAAGCGGGGUAGCCAUUCCAUCAUUGAUCGAGUGGGGCAACCAUGCCACCAUCCUAACAUGAGGAUGAUAUGAAGAAGGUGUAAGAAAAUACACACAAGUUCAUAUAAAGAUACAUAAGGGAAUCGGGAGAUCAAUAUGCGAGAACCAGACAUGGUGGAGGAUUUGAAGAGGCACAAGAUGUUUGGGAGAGCUGUGUUCAACAUGGUAAAUAACUUGGAGAGGCACUUGAUAUUCCGGAGACAUUUGUUCAAUAGGAGGUGUUCGCGACAAAUCGAUGAGGACAUUGAUUGUCUAAGUGGGGGAGAAUGUAAGGGGGACAGCCCGUCAUCCCUCGAGGAUUGGCCAAACCCAGCCAAGCCGUAGGCCUAUGAGAUGGUAUAAGGGCACAGUUGAAGAGAAUGAGAAGUUUGCGGGACACUUUUAUAAAUAUGGAAUAGUCCAAGGGGGUGUGAUGGGUGAGACAUAC
rnacentral:misc_RNA from 1 species